AAUGAAUACACGAUAGCAUUUUUGUUUUUAAUGUGUUUCUCAGGUAGCCUAUUAGAAAAACAGAGUAAUUCGUAUAUCCACAAAGCAUCAUUUUUUGACUGUGGUGGGUAGCUUCAGAUCCCACGGAAUCACGUCUGCCAGCGGUAUUCACGGUCCUUUGCAAAACAUUCCCACAAUGAAAUCUGGUUGUAGGUCAUUCCAGGAGCUGUUGUCAUGAAUACUGCUGACCUCUUAAAGUUUGGUGUCCCAAAGCGAUCGUGGUGAAACAGUCUUUCAUAUUUAGUCUUAUUUUUAUGCACCCGUAUCACUCUAGAGCUGAGGGAUGAUUGCCAGUAAGUAAUCGGAACUCUAGAAUUAAUGUUAUACCUACAAAGUCAUCAGCUCAGUGCAGCUUCAAACCAAGGCAUCUUAGUUCUCCACCAGCCCCUGGAAUUGCUUUCAUUUUGGGCAGAACUGUUGUAGAAACUAUAGCAGGCAUGGUUUUGCCUGGAUCCAACACAGCCAUGCCAAGUACUAAGGAAGUGUGUAGCUCCUGGCAGGUAGCUUAAAACUGGGCUAUCUUCCUCCAACCACACGGGGGCGCGACGACCCCACAGUCCGCACAACGGCAGCCAGCCCUGGACCGCUCUGGGAUGGGGAAACUGACUGACUCUUCCAAGGGCGGGGCAAAAGGCUCCUCGGAGGUCCCAAGGGCAGGAAGUGAGGGGGCGGGGCUUGGAAAAGACGUGCGCCUGCGCGGAGCCAGCAGCUGGAUCCGGCUCCGGCUGCGGCUCGAGUGCGCGCUCACGAUAACCAAGCAGAGGUAAGAUGAACUUCCUUUAUGGACUGCAGUCUGCCACAAGAAAUCAGUUUCUCUCUGGAGUGAAUACGCUGGCCCGCAGGAGAACGUGGACCCCACCAGCAGGCUGUCCACUGGCAUCGAGGCUCCCAGCAGUAAAUGCAAACUGGGGACUUAGCACAGUCAGUCACUGUUAUUCAGUGAUCUUACUGCCCAGAAACCUUCAUUUCUGUAGGACUCUCAAGAACAAAAGAUCAAGAUGCCUCUCAAGUGCCCAAAGCAAGGAAAUGGGGGUGCUCACCUACAAUUGGACGGUUUGGGGUGAUGCCUCAUGUUCUCCGAACUAUGCCGCCAUAAGAGAGGUCCGGAGUUUCCACACAUCUGCGCCACGUCAGGCCGCUCCAGUCCCUCUCUUGAUGCUCAUUCUGAAACCAGUGCAAAAGCUCCUUGCUAUCAUUGUGGGCAGGGGCAUAAGGAAAUGGUGGCAAGCACUUCCCCCUGACAAGAAGGCGCUAUUUAAAGACAGCGUGAAGAGGAACAAGUGGAGGCUGCUCCUUGGUCUGAGUGCCUUUGGACUGCUGUUUGUGGUGUUUUAUUUCACUCACCUGGAAGUGAGCCCUGUCACUGGAAGGAGCAAACUACUGUUAGUGGGGAAAGAACACUUCAGACUCCUGUCAGACCUGGAAUAUGAAGUGUGGAUGGAAGAGUUUAAAAAUGAUCUGCUGCCUGAGGAAGACCCCCGGUACCUGACUGUCAAGAAGGUGGUUUAUCAUCUAACACAGUGCAAUCAAGAUGUCCCAGGGGUCUCUGAGAUCAACUGGGUGGUUCACGUGGUCCAUUCGCCCAAGGUCAAUGCCUUCGUGCUUCCAAACGGACAAGUGUUUGUUUUCACUGGGCUUUUGAAUAGCGUGACCGAUAUGCACCAGCUUUCCUUCCUCCUGGGCCAUGAGAUCGCGCAUGCGGUCCUGGGGCAUGCCGCAGAAAAGGCUAGCUUGGUUCAUUUACUGGAUUUCCUUGGCAUGAUUUUUCUCACAAUGAUUUGGGCCAUUUGUCCAAGAGACAGCUUGGCAGUUCUGGGCCAGUGGAUACAGUCAAAGUUGCAGGAGUAUAUGUUUGAUAGACCAUACAGUAGAACAUUGGAGGCCGAAGCUGACAAAAUUGGACUACAGCUGGCUGCAAAGGCAUGUGUGGACGUAAGAGCUAGUUCAGUGUUUUGGCAGCAGAUGGAGUUCUCAGAGAGCCUUCAUGGCUACCCCAAGUUGCCAGAGUGGCUAUCAACACAUCCUUCUCACGGGAACCGAGCUGAGUACUUGGACAGACUCAUACCACAGAACUUGGCUAGCCAUGUUCCAGGAACUGGAAACAACCUAAAUGUCCUUCUAUAGAUGAAUGGGCAAUGAAAAUGUGGUACACAUCUACACAAUGGAAUAGCUGCAAAGAAAGUUGGAGUCACGAAGUUUACAGGUCCUCAGAUCCCAGGUCCAGCAGACAAGAUCUCCACAGGUCAGCAAAAGUUGACAUUAUUUUAUAUUUACUUAAAAUCAUACCUAACACACAUCAAUGUAUGUGUAUACUUACGUGUUUUGACACACCAAUAGUGUCAGUCCCUGAAACCACCUUUCCUCCUUCCCAGGUACCCAUUCUUUUUAUUUUCCAGAGCCCCAAAGCUCCAAUAUCCCAGUUUGAUUGCCUUGCUUUUCUGUCUCUUGCUCUCUACCCCUGCCUCUCAGUACAGUGUCGAUGGUGGUUUCUCUUUUCUGGCUAAACAACUUCCUACUUUCUUACACACUCACUUGGUAAAUAUUCCGCAAGAAUUCUGCAGUCCCGAGAAACACAAACCAGCUUGUCGAGAAGAGAGGAUGUAUAUGUAUGUGUGUAUGUGUGUAUAUGUGGGUAUAUAUGUAUACAUACAGACACACACAUAUCCAUUGUCUUAGGGUUUUAGCUAUGAAGGGAAAUCUUGACCAAGAGAACUCUUAGAAAGGCAACAUUUAAUUGGGACUGGCUUACAGUUUCAGAAGUUUGGUUAUUAUCAUCAUGGCAGGAACCAUGGCAACCUGCAGGCUGACUUGGUGCUGGAGGAGCUGAGAGUUCUACCUCUGGAUCCUAAGGCAAGCAGGAAGAGGCUCUCUUCCACCGGCAGUCAGGAGGAAGCUCCCAUUCCAUAGAGCCUGAGCAGGGGAGCCUUCAAAGCCCCUCUGUACGGUGACACAUUUCCUCUAGGAAGGUUACACCUCCUUUAAUAAGGCCACACCUCCUAAUAGUCCUACUUCCCAUGGGCAAGUAUAUUCAAACUACCACAUCCAUAUGUAUGAAUAUGUAUACAUAACAUCCAUAUACAGACACAUAUGGCGUAAUCACACCUUCGAUGGAGUAGUGUGGCAUUGGCUUUGGGCUAGAGGCCAUCUUUAGACUGUGAACAGGAGUGUUGUUUGUGCGGAAUUGUCGACUGGAUUGGGUUGAGACCUGAAUGAUGAUCUAUUCCAUGAAGAACUGGGUGCUGAACAAUAGGAAGAUCAAGCACAGACAUCCUGAAGGCCUGGAGAAGGUAAAUAAACGUACCAAGUUUAUUCAUCAGGAAGAGGAGAAGACAGGGAGACGAAGUCAGGACGAGCUCUUGAAUAUUCAUUAUUUGUCUGACAAGCAGGAAAGCACAUUCAGAGACAAGAAAUACACACUGUAAUAGCAAGGGAAACAUCACAUCUAUUUCUCUGCUCCUGGCAGUGACAUGAGCACACCCUCCCUGUGUUGGGCACUGCCAACAAGCUUUCUACAUGCCCCUCAGGUAGUACUAUUUUAUAUUCUUUUCUAAUUCCUGAAGAACAAUGGUUCCAGAGAGGCUAAGCAACUUGUUUAAGGUCACACAGCCUGUCGAGUAUGGUCCAGCUUCCUACUGGAAAAGCUGUCAUAUCAUUCAUUACACUUGGCCACUAGGAAUCAUUCUUUGCUGUUAGCUUCAUCAGGGUGGGGGCAGAGGUUGGAGUGAUGGUGGUGGGGGCAGUGAUAUCUCUGUCUUUCUUUUAUAAUUAUCCUGGAGCAGAAUUGGAGGAAUCAGGGUGUCAGAAAAGUUGACCUUGAAUGUGUUUCUCCCAAAGCUCUUGGGCCCAGGGCCAGUGUCAUGGUGGCGUGUAUUUCUAGUGCAAUUAUCCGGUUCUUCUCUUAUGGUUCCCUCAGAAGUUCCUCCGUGAUCAUUAAAACUGGCUCAGGGCAGUGGCUUUGAAAGCGGCUGGAACCGCCCAGGGCUGGCUGAUGUCUUUGUUAAGAAGGACUGCCUUCCAGUGACUUCAGUGGCCUCUCUGCUUUAUCAGAAAGUAAGGAAGAUGAGAUCUUGCGGCGCCAAUUACAGGUGGGUGACUCUCAAAAGAAGCUGCUCUCUUUUGUCUCAGAGGUGUUGAGAUUUUCAGCACUAUUAGACUCAGAGUUCAUCCUGGUC